GGGGGCGUUUUGGUUUCGACUGGAUGUUGGAAGGCCUGUUGCAUGUAGAGGUUGAUCAGCUGGCCUCUUAAAAAGCCGAUCAAAACAAAUAAUUGCAGACUCUAACGAGCUCGCACUCGCUGCUUAAUUGCCAGUGACGCCUGAACCCUGACGCCUAUUACGGGGGAUCGCGACUACUUAAUAGGCUGGCUUGAAGAUCGGGUUUCCGGGUUCGAUAGUAAGACUAAACAGGAAAAUCGGAUAAGAGUAUGUGGCUGACGGACUUGCUCUUUCUUAAAAAACUCUGACAGCUAAACAUGUAGACGCUUGCCUGAAAGGCAUUUAGGACAGGGGUUCAACUCCCCUCGCCUCCACCA
rnacentral:tmRNA from 1 species